GAUGAAGAACGUAGCGAAAUGCAAUAAGUAAUGUGAAUUGCAGAAUUCAGUGAAUCAUCGAGUUUUUGAACGCAUAUUGCGCCCUCUGGUAUUCCGGGGGGCAUGCCUGUUCGAGCGUCAUUAAAUAACCCUCAAGCAUAGCUUGGUGUUGGGCUUUUUUACGUCCUUGACUGGGAUGGGCCUAAAAAUUAGUGGCGAUGGCUUUUUUACUUUCAAGCGUAGUAAAUCUCGUCUUGCUAAAGAGGAAAAAGAUUUUUUUUCUGCCAAAAAUUUUAACAUUUAAAGUUGACCUCGGAUCAGGUAGGAUUACCCGCUGAACUUAAGCAUAUCAAUAAGCGGAGGA
rnacentral:misc_RNA from 1 species